GCCUCUGCUUACCGAAAUGACCGUGACAUCGGAACAAAUAUCGUUAUGCAAUACGAUACCGGACAUAUCGGAUACUGUGGCUCGCUUGCCCUCCGCACCACGAAUGACAAUAGCACCAUUCUCCUCGUAUACGCGAAUAUUAUCCAUCGAAUUAUCUGCUAUGCCCGAAGUCCCCACCGUACACGGAACCGACAAUAUAGAUUCACCCAUGUUGUAAACCACCGAUACGGCAUAAACAUUAUCGCCGUCGGCCGGAGCGUUAUCGGUAAACUCGGUCGCUGCCGUAUUAUCCAACAGCUCCCCGUUACGAUACACAUUGUAACUCUCCACAGCCAACCUUUCGGGAAGAACCGGUUGAGGUUUAUAAACAACCAGGAUGUUGGCUUAGAAGCAGCCACUCAUUAAAAGAGUGCGUAAUAGCUCACUGGUCGAGUGAUUCUGCGCCGAAAAUUUAACGGGGCUAAACUAUACACCGAAGCUUAGGAUACCGCAAGGUAUGGUAGGAGAGCGUUCUGUACGGAGUGAAGUCGUAGCGAAAGCGGCGGUGGACUGUACAGAAGUGAGAAUGCCGGAAUAAGUAGCGAGAAUUAAGUGAGAAUCUUAAUGGCCGAAAGUCUAAGGUUUUUGGAGGAAGGUUCGUCCGCUCCAAGUAAGUCGGGAGCUAAGGUCAGGCCGAAAGGCGUAGCCGAUGCACAAACGGUUGAUAUUCCGUUACCGUCUACAAUUUAAACAAAGGGACACAUACAAAGCGUUUAACCCGGGCGAUGGUUGACCCGGGCGCAAGGGACUGAAAUAAGAGUAGGGAAGUAAAUGUGGCGUAUGGCGAGAAAAGCUUUGUGUAUAGAAGUAGACGCCCGUACCGCAAACCGACACAGGUGGACAGGAAGAGAAUUCUAAGGCCAGCGGGAGAAGGGUAGUUAAGGAACUCGGCAAAUUGACUCCGUAACUUCGGAAUAAGGAGUGCUCGAAAGAGCCGCAGAGAAUAGGCCCAGGCGACUGUUUAGCAAAAACACAGGUCUCUGCCAAAUCGAAAGAUGAAGUAUAGGGGCUGACACCUGCCCGGUGCCGGAAGGUUAAGAGGAGGAGUGCAAGCUCCGAAUUGAAGCCCCGGUAAACGGCGGCCGUAACUAUAACGGUCCUAAGGUAGCGAAAUUCCUUGUCGGGUAAGUUCCGACCCGCACGAAUGGUGUAACGAUCUGGGCACUGUCUCAACUACCCACCCGGCGAAAUUGUAGUACCGGUGAAGAUGCCGGUUACCUGCGGCAAGACGGAAAGACCCCAUGGAGCUUUACUGUAGCCUGAUAUUGGGUUUCGGAAAUCUAUGUACAGGAUAGGCGGGAGACUGGGAAGUAUGAGCGUCAGCUUAUACGGAGUCAUUGUUGGGAUACCGCCCUUAGGUUUCUGGAAUUCUAACCUGCGACCGUGAAUCCGGUCGGGGGACAUUGUCAGGUGGGCAGUUUGACUGGGGCGGUCGCCUCCGAAAAGGUAACGGAGGCGCUCAAAGGUUGGCUCAGCACGGACGGAAACCGUGCCUCAGAGUGUAAACGCAAAAGCCAGCCUAACUGCGAGGAUGACGGUCCGAGCAGUAACGAAAGUUGGAGUUAGUGAUCCGGCGGUAUGUGAAUGGAAAUGCCGUCGCUCAACGGAUAAAAGCUACCCUGGGGAUAACAGGCUGAUCUCCCCCAAGAGUCCACAUCGACGGGGAGGUUUGGCACCUCGAUGUCGGCUCAUCACAUCCUGGGGCUGUAUUCGGUCCCAAGGGUUCGGCUGUUCGCCGAUUAAAGUGGUACGCGAGCUGGGUUCAGAACGUCGCGAGACAGUUCGGUCCCUAUCUGUCGUGGGCGCAGGAUAUUUGAGGAGCUCUGUCCUUAGUACGAGAGGACCGGGAUGGACGUACCUCUGGUGCACCAGUUGUCAUGCCAAUGGCACGGCUGGGCAGCUACGUACGGAACGGAUAAACGCUGAAAGCAUCUAAGCGUGAAGCCGACUCCAAGAUUAGAUAUCCCAUUGCAUAAGCAAGUAAGACCCCUUGAGGACUACGAGGUUGAUAGGCUGCGUGUGUAAGUGUCGUGAGGCAUUUAGCUUGGCAGUACUAAUAGGUCGAGGGCUUGACCAC
rnacentral:rRNA from 1 species